UGGGGAAUUUUGGACAAUGGGCGAAAGCCUGAUCCAGCAAUGCCGCGUGUGUGAAGAAGGCCUUCGGGUUGUAAAGCACUUUUGUCCGGAAAGAAAUCCUCUGGGUUAAUACCUCGGGGGGAUACGGUACCGGAAGAAUAAGCACCGGCUAACUACGUGCCAGCAGCCGCGGUAAUACGUAGGGUGCAAGCGUUAAUCGGAAUUACUGGGCGUAAAGCGUGCGCAGGCGGUUUUGUAAGACGGAUGUGAAAUCCCCGGGGCUUAACCUGGGAACUGCAUUCGUGACUGCAAGGCUAGAGUAUGGCAGAGGGGGGUAGAAUUCCACGUGUGANCAGUGAAAUGCGUAGAGAUGUGGAGGAAUACCGAUGGCGAAGGCAGCCCCCUGGGCCAAUACUGACGCUCAUGCACGAAAGCGUGGGGAGC
rnacentral:rRNA from 1 species